rnacentral:rRNA from 1 species
UACAGAGGUCUCAAGCGUUGUUCGGAGUUACUGGGCGUAAAGAGUGCGUAGGCGGUUUUCUAAGUUUGGUGUGGAAUCUCCCGGCUUAACUGGGAGGGUGCGCCGAAAACUGGAAGGCUUGAGUAUGGGAGAGGUAAGCGGAAUUCCUGGUGUAGCGGUGAAAUGCGUAGAUAUCAGGAGGAACACCUGCGGUGUAGACGGCUUACUGGACCAUAACUGACGCUGAGGCACGAAAGCGUGGGUAGCAAACAGG